UCUAAGCUGUCAGCACAGAGCUUUAUGCAAGGCUCUAACUCGUGAACUGCAAGAUCAUGACCUGAGCCCAAGUCGGAUGCUCAACCAACUGAGCCACCCAGGCGCCCUGACAGCUACCAACCUCUAAGUGCUGAUUGGACAAUCACCAAGGAAGGAUAUUUCAGGAAGGUCAUGUUUGAUUUUCAAGGCACUUUCACGGCAGAUUGAUUUUCAUUGCAGACUCCAGUGAAAUCACAUAGAUCGGUUCACCAACAACCUACGGAGCCUGAAGUCCUGUUCUUUGUAUCUACUUAAGACAUGAGGAUAGAUAAAAGGGAGUUGGGAAAACGGAGCGGAUGAAUGUGCCUGUUCUCUCAUGGCAGCCUCUGUUCUCGCUCCUCUCCAGCUGGGAAGUAGGAUUGAACACUACGGUUGAUUCCACCAAAGAAAAUCCACCCCAUAAACCAGUGUUGACAGGAUUUUUUUCACCACAAUACUCGGGAUUCGUUGUCUCGCUGCCUCAAAGAAUGAAGAGGUAGACACAAAAUAAGCAGCAGGCCAAAGUUUAUUAGAGCAUAAGAUCAGAAAGGAAGAAUAAUAGGAAAGCUCUCUUUACAGAGAGGGGACAUUCGAGGGUGAAUACCCACGACUCUAGGCAAGGGUCCUCGUUUUACAAGGUUCUGCUCAGCCCUCCCCUCUCCCUUCCCCCUUGUUCCUUCUCAGGUUCUGCCCUUAUUGGCUUGAUGGUUCUAGGUGCUGGGUUGUCCAUUCUUGAUAGGCUGGUUUCCGGCUGAGGGGUGGUGUGUGGGCACACUUAGGUCUUUUGUAAAAUUCCUGAGGGGAAAUCUGAUAGGUGUUUUUCCCCACCCUGGGACCUGAGGUCCUAUCCUUCCCCUCUCUGCCUCUUCUGCCCUGUCUUUUCCUAUCAUACUCUGAUACACGGCGAUGAACCUCACCUCAACUCCUCCUCACCCAUCACUUCAUACAGUCUUCAGGAGUCUAAUUCUGAAGAUGACUUCAUUUGUGCUCAGCAAACGAGAUCCUUAAACUGAAAGAUCCAUACCCUUUACAGGAUGGCAGAUGGGUUUUAAACACUUAAAUUUUAUUUCUGUCACACACAAAAAUGUUAUCAAGCCUAGUAUCUAAAGCACUGCCGGGGAAAGAUUUUAAAUACCCAUUUUGUAAUCUCAGCGACCAAUCAUGUAUGCUCAGAGACAGAGAAGUCAAGACCAAUGUUUCCGCGUGCUCUCUGACCAGUGGUGGUCAAAGAGGAUCGCCCCUGAUUUCGCAUCUGUGCCAGCCCUUCUCGUUUUGAGCAUUUUUGUCUGUGGAGAUUUAUCAUUACCCUUCGUUAUUUGGUGUCAGUCCCAACCAUCGUGCUAUGGAGGAGACUUUGUCUGCCACUCACCUGCAUGGUCCAUGGAGCCUGCUCUGUACCUGUUGAUGAGGAAGCUAAGUCACAGCAUUAAGAAGCCAGAAAAUGCUACUUCUCUCAUACUUGGCUGAACCCUGAGGAAAAAUACUAUCUUCCUUAAAUCAACCAUAGAAGCAUUUUGCAUUCUUCCUGCCUUUCUUUCCCUUCAAGACAAAUCUUGUCACCUCCUUUUAUUGGACGGAUUGGAAAUCCAAGACUG